rnacentral:snRNA from 1 species
UAGAAUUUGCUCUUUUAGAAUUUGCCUAGCAGGAUUUCCUGUCUUUUCUGGAAACCCCUC